rnacentral:lncRNA from 1 species
GGGUGUCCCCUUGAAUGAGGAGUGUGCCAGAGAGGUGAUUUAAAUUACUUAUAGGAGUUCCCAUCGUGGCUCAGUGGUUAAUGAACACGACUGAUAUCCAUAAGAACUCAGGUUCGAUCCCUGGCCUUGCUCAGAGGGCUAAGGAUCUGGCGUUGCCAUGAGCUGUGGUGUAGGUGGAAGACGUAGCUCGGAUUUGGCAUUGCUGUGGCUGUGGUGUAGGCUGGCAGCUAUAGCCUAGGAACCCCUAGCCUAGGAACUUCCUUAUGCCACAGGUGUGGCCCUAACAAGACAAAAGACAAAACAAAAUAAAAAUGUUACUUAUAUAACAUAGUUCUUCCAGGUCUUUGACUUCCUUUGGCUGAUGAACUUGUUUUAUCUUUCACACCUGGCAAGAUCUAGGGCCCUCCCCUGAUGUGCAUGUGCAUCUUUUGGCCAAGAUAGAUUCCAAAGAAGAGCAUGGUAGGAAAGUUAUCCAGAUUUAUUACGGCCUGGCACCCCCUCCCUUUCUGACCCAGAGGGGUCUCUCUGCGCAUGUGUAGUUGGGGUCUCCCUGACCUCGAGGAUGGGGAGGACGUGACCUCUUUGUUCUGCCCCAGCAGGGCGCAGCCCCCUCCUCUGAUCCUGUCAUCACCAUUGUUUAAAGUUCACAGGAGACAAGCGCCGGUUAUUGGCCUUGUGCCUGUUGUUAUUUCUGUCUUGUAGUGUAGACAGGUGGCUGGUUGUAAAUGCAUAUCCUAGAGUCCACCUGUCUCCUGCCUCCGCAAGUGUAUGUUCGAGGCUAGUUGCAGGGUUGAAUCAGAGCUGCAGCUGCCUGCCUACACCACAGCUACGGCAAUGCCAGACCCAAGCUGCAUCUGCAAACUACACCACAGCUCACAGCAACGCUAGAUCCUUAACCUACUUAGUGAGGCCAGGGAUUGGACCCUCAACCUCACGGUUACUAGUCGGAUUCAUUUCCUCUGAGCCACAACGGGAACUCCCCUUAUUUUUAAAGUGUGUCCUAAAGUAGUAUUCAUGGUAUGAUUCUAUUUUUUGUUUCCUUCUUUCUGUUUUCAUUAUUUGUAUGUGUAUUUUCCAUACAUAUUUGAAAUGUAAAAUAUUUUAAGUUGUUUUCCAUAUUCUCUCAUUUAUUUCUUCAGUUAUUUAAUAUGCUUUUGUUAUUUAUUUAUUUAUUCAUUUACUUAUUUUUAGGGUCACACCUCUGGCAUAUGGAAGUUCUCUGCUAGGGGUUGAAUCUGAGCUGCAGCUGCCAGCCUACACCACAGCCACAGCAACGCCAGAUCUGAGCCGCAUCUGUGACCUAUGCCACAGCUUGCGGCAAUGCCAGAUCCUUAAUCUGCUGAUGCAGGGGUGGAAUCUGCAUCCUCAUGGCCACUGUCUGAGGUUCUUAACAUGCUGAGCCACAAGGGGGAACUCCUGCUUUUGUUAUUUUACAUACCGCUUGGUGGCUGAUGAGUUCCAAAUCUUUAUUUACAGAUUCUGUAAUCAGUUCCUUGAUAUUAUUUCCCAAGUCCUUCAAAUAUGUAGAAUUUUUUUCACCUACUCCUGAAAACAUUGCCUUCUUUACUCUGGUGCAGAAAUGUCAUGGUACUCAAAACAUAACAAAGACUUAAAAUAUCUUUCUUGAAGGGAUGCUUAAAUCAUGAAGUGGAUUGAAUUACAAAGCAAACAAAUGAAAAAAUAGAAUUGCUACCAGAGCCAGAGAUGAGAGUACUCAGUUUCAUUCUGUGAUGAUCAGCCAGAUUUUGGAGUGUUUCAUUUAGUUCUAAUCUCUCCAUUUUAAUGGAUCCAAAUACAUGGAAAUUUUCUAGGCAGAGUGAAUAGUAUAGAUAAGGAAUUAAAAAUCACUUCCCAUGAAAAAUAGUUGAAGGAACUGGGGUUUCCGCAAUACAGUAAUUAAGACUGGGAGUUUGCACAGGUAUUUUUGAAGAAUCAUAGGGAUUUUCCCAUUAAUGUAUAUUUCCAUGAUUUAGAUAGGUUUUAUUUAUGAUGAUGAUGAAGAAAGUAUAGUUGAUUUAUAAUUUUACACUAAUCUCACAUGUACAGAAUAUUUAUAUGCAGUAUUUUUAUGAUUAUACUCCAUGUAAAGUUUUCAUAAAAUAAUAGCAUAUUCACUGUGUUGUUCAAUAUAUCCUUGUUUCUCAUUUAUUUUAUAUGUAGUAGUUUGUAUUUCUUAAUUCCCUGCUACUGUCUUCCUUCUCUCCCCUUCACUGUUGCCACUGGUAACCACUAGUUUUGUUCUCUAUAUCUGAGCAUCUGUUUCUGUUUUUUAAUAUUAAUUUUUUGUCUUAUUUUUUAGAUUCUACAUAUAAAUUAUAAUAUACAGUAUUUAUAAUUUCCUGUCUGGCUUAUUUCUCUAAGCAGAAUACCCUCCAGGUCCACUCAUGUUGCAGCAAAUGAUAAAAUUUUAUUCUUUUUUAAUGGCUAAGUAAUAUUACUUAUGUAGUAUGUAAUGUAUGUAGUAUAUAAUGUCUCUACAUUGUUUCAUACUUAUUCCUUACUUCUCUCUAUUUAAUGUUUCCAAAUUUUCUAAAGAACAUUACUUGAAUAAACAUUUUCAAUUAAAGAACUGAAAAUUUUGAAUAACUUUCUUAAGUGUCUCUAAUUACAUUGUUCAGUGGUAAAUGUUGAUCUCACAGUAAUUCAGUGUUUUUACUUGGUUGUGUCCCAGUGUGUGUGGGGGAGGUAGGCAGGGGGGGCAUAUGAAGGGAUAUCCAGCAAUAGUAGCAUUUGUUGCUUCUCCUGUUAUAAAGCUCUUGGCUUUUGUCACAAAUUUUUUCUGACUUUUCACUCUUCUCCAUCAUUUUGCACCUUUGCUGCAUCUCAUAUUUCUAAAAUGGCUGCCUCUCUUCUGGAUGAUAUUCAUUUCCUGUCUGUAUAUCCAGCCUUCCUUUUUGCCUUCUUUUACUUAUUACCUCGGGAAGUAUUUAUAGAACAUCUUGGUACCUCAUUCAUGUACCAGGGGUGACCAGGGUGGAGAGGAAGAUGAGCCCAGUCUCCGUUCUCAUGGGGUUCAGAAGUGAGGGAGAGAGACGGUAAACUAGCAACUGAAAUACAAAACCACAAGUGCUGUAAGGGUGCCGGGGUCCAGCCCCAGCAGCCAGGAGAUGACGAACAGGAGGAGGGGCUAUAAACAGGCGCGAAAGAAUUGGAGCCAACUCCCUCAGCCAGUGCUGCAGAUGACCCGUUUAUUGAAAGGAGAGCAUCAGCUUUUAUACAUUUUACUCUUGUGCAUGAUUAUACAAACAACAAUAUAUGUUAAUUUAUUACUCCAAACUAUUCUUUUAGUUUUAAAUUUUAAAUAAAGAUUACGUACAAACUGUACUUUCAUUCUUAGAAAAUAAGUAAAUAGCAAGCAGAAUAAUAGGUAUCUAAUUUUUACUUUAACAAUGAUUUGGCAUAAGGUGAUAGAUAUUCUUGCCUCAAGCUACCUAUUGUGCUCCUCUAGCAGGCAUGAACAGCCAUUGAUGGGGAGUGGGGUAUUCACACGUGGCUUGCUUUCGAGGUCAGGCUGACCUCAGACCAUUAGCAGGUUGUGGGAACAUAAACUGUCUUAAAUAAACCUUAUCUAUUAUAAAAAUCUUUAUUAAUUAUAAAAUCUAUAUAUCAAAAGAAUCUUGCCAGUUAUAAUAAUAAUUUCCACCUGCUGGGUCCCAAUAGGUAGCGUUUAUUG